rnacentral:lncRNA from 1 species
AACAACCACCAGGUCAAACUGCCUUACCUCCACCUCCAAUGCAGCAGUUCAGGAGCAUGCCGCCUCCACCUCCACAAAUUGCUCCAGCUUUACCAAGGCCUCCACCACCACCAGUAGGCAUGGUGACUGCUCCAAAUGUGUGGCGGCCACCACCACCUCCUCAGCAGUUAGGUGGUGGGCCCCCAUCUAUGCCACCACAUCUGCCACCCCCUCCUCCGGGCAAUUUUCCCCCACCUCCCCCUCCUUCAUAGAAGCU